rnacentral:misc_RNA from 1 species
GGAGGGAUCAUUAACAUGUGAAAACAAACACAAACCAAACCGUGAACCAAAUUCAAACUUCAAACCGUGAACUAUAUAUUUUGUUUGUGAACUUUACUUUUUGUACCUCAAAACCACUCCACGCAAUGGAUAUCUUGGUUCUCGUAUCGAUGAAGAACGCAGCGAACUGCGAGAUGUGAUGCGAAUUGCAUAUGUCCGUGAAUCAUUGAAUCUUUGAACGCAACUGGCGCUCCGUAUCUUGCUACGGAGCACGUGCCCCUCAGUCUCGAUCUCCCACAAAUCUACCAUCUGUAUAGUUUCUACUAUAUAUGUAUGGAGUUACCGGGUCUGGGAUUGUACGAUCCCACUCCUGCUGGUUUCACUUGUACUGUUUCCAGGGAGUGUACCCUACACAGCUCUACUCACCAUCAUCCGUGUCUAACAUGUAUCGAUGUGUGUCUCUGUGUAGUAAGUACCUCUUGUGGUCACUACAUGAGAAUGAGUUUUUAUACGAGCUGAGUUGGCACGAGGUUACCCCCUGAAUUUAAGCAUAUUAGUAAGGGGAGGAGAAGAAACUAACUAGGACUCCCUCAGUAACGGCGAGUGAAGCGGGAUGAGCUCGAGCUUGAAAUCGGUCACUGAAGUUUCGGUGACUGAGUUGUAGCCGUGGGCACUAAGUUCGUCGAUACGCUGACGGGUCGCAGUCCCUUGGAAGAGGGCAUCAGAGAGGGUGAUAAUCCCGUUCAUGACGUCCGUCUGGCGUGUUGGCGAUUAACUUGGUUGCUUCGAGUCGAGUUGUUUGGGAUUGCAGCUCUAUGAGGUGGGAACGUCCAUCUAAAGCUAAGUAGUGACGAGAGACCGAUAGCGAACAAGUACCGUGAGGGAAAGAUGAAAAGCACUUUGAAAAGAGAGUGAGAUAGGACUUGAAGUUGCGUGGAGGGAAGCGGGCCCAUGGGGGAUGGCUGCACCCACCGACCCACUCUCCAAGAAGCGCUACACGAGGGUAGGUUCGUCCUCGUGACGGACUGGCACAUUGUGUAGCUGUGUUGGGAGUGGUCGGUGGUGUGUUCUAGCCUGGCACUAUGGGCCCGACCCGUCUUGAAACACGGACCAAGGAGUCUACCCUCCAGGCGAGCCCUCGGACUUACAAUGUCUGUUGGGCGAAGUGAAAGCGUUACUGAGUUGUCUCUCAGGGCCGGUGUUGCACUCUUGUCGUGCUGAUGCUGCGUUUUAGUCUGGCGGACAGGACCCGAAAGAUGGUGAUCUAUGCCUGAACAGGGUGAAGCCAGGGGAAACCCUGGUGGAGGCUCGUCGCGAUACUGACGUGCAAAUCGUUCGUCUGAUUUGGGGAUAGGGGCGAAAGACUACUCGAACCAUCUAGUAGCUGGUUCCUUC